rnacentral:rRNA from 1 species
UCUGGUUGAUCCUGCCAGUAGUUAUAUGCUUGUCUCAAAGAUUAAGCCAUGCAUGUCUAAGUACACACGAAUUAAAAGUGAAACCGCAAAAGGCUCAUUAUAUCAGUUAUGGUUCCUUAGAUCGUUAACAGUUACUUGGAUAACUGUGGUAAUUCUAGAGCUAAUACAUGCAAUUAAAACAUGAACCUUAUGGGACAUGUGCUUUUAUUAGGCUAAAACCAAGCGAUCGCAAGAUCGUUAUAUUGGUUGAACUCUAGAUAACAUGCAGAUCGUAUGGUCUUGUACCGACGACAGAUCUUUCAAAUGUCUGCCCUAUCAACUUUUGAUGGUAGUAUCUAGGACUACCAUGGUUGCAACGGGUAACGGGGAAUCAGGGUUCGAUUCCGGAGAGGGAGCCUGAGAAACGGCUACCACAUCUAAGGAAGGCAGCAGGCGCGUAAAUUACCCACUCCCAGCUCGGGGAGGUAGUGACGAAAAAUAACAAUACAGGACUCAUAUCCGAGGCCCUGUAAUUGGAAUGAGUACACUUUAAAUCCUUUAACAAGGACCAAUUGGAGGGCAAGUCUGGUGCCAGCAGCCGCGGUAAUUCCAGCUCCAAUAGCGUAUAUUAAAGUUGUUGCGGUUAAAACGUUCGUAGUUGAACUUGUGCUUCAUACGGGUAGUACAACUUACAAUUGUGGUUAGUACUUAUUUAUGUAUGUAAGCGUAUUACCGGUGGAGUUCUUAUAUGUGAUUAAAUACUUGUAUUUUUUCAUAUGUUCCUCCUAUUUAAAAACCUGCAUUAGUGCUCUUAAACGAGUGUUAUUGUGGGCCGGUACUAUUACUUUGAACAAAUUAGAGUGCUUAAAGCAGGCUUCAAAUGCCUGAAUAUUCUGUGCAUGGGAUAAUGAAAUAAGACCUCUGUUCUGCUUUCAUUGGUUUUCAGAUCAAGAGGUAAUGAUUAAUAGAAGCAGUUUGGGGGCAUUAGUAUUACGACGCGAGAGGUGAAAUUCUUGGACCGUCGUAAGACUAACUUAAGCGAAAGCAUUUGCCAAAAGAUGUUUUCAUUAAUCAAGAACGAAAGUUAGAGGUUCGAAGGCGAUCAGAUACCGCCCUAGUUCUAACCUAAACGAUGCCAGCUAGCAAUUGGGUGUAGCUACUUUUAUGGCUCUCUCAGUCGCUUCCCGGGAAACCAAAGCUUUUGGGCUCCGGGGGAAGUAUGGUUGCAAAGCUGAAACUUAAAGGAAUUGACGGAAGGGCACCACCAGGAGUGGAGCCUGCGGCUUAAUUUGACUCAACCGGGAAAACUUACCAGGUCCAACAUAAGUGUGUAAGACAGAUUGAUAGCUCUUUCUCGAAUCUAUGGGUGGUGGUGCAUGGCCGUUCUUAGUUCGUGGAGUGAUUUGUCUGGUUAAUUCCGAUAACGAACGAGACUCAAAUAUAUUAAAUAGAUAUCUUCAGGAUUAUGGUGCUGAAGCUUAUGUAGCCUUCAUUCAUGUUGGCAGUAAAAUGCUUAUUGUGUUUGAAUGUGUUUAUGUAAGUGGAGCCGUACCUGUUGGUUUGUCCCAUUAUAAGGACACUAGCUUCUUAAAUGGACAAAUUGCGUCUAGCAAUAAUGAGAUUGAGCAAUAAAGGUCUGUGAUGCCCUUAGAUGUCCUGGGCUGCACGCGCGCUACAAUGAAAGUAUCAACGUGUAUUUCCUAGACCGAGAGGUCCGGGUAAACCGCUGAACCACUUUCAUGCUUGGGAUUGUGAACUGAAACUGUUCACAUGAACUUGGAAUUCCAGUAAGUGUGAGUCAUUAACUCGCAUUGAUUACGUCCCUGCCCUUUGUACACACCGCCCGUCGCUACUACCGAUUGAAUUAUUUAGUGAGGUCUCCGGACGUGAUCACUGUGACGCCUUGCGUGUUACGGUUGUUUCGCAAAAGUUGACCGAACUUGAUUAUUUAGAGGAAGUAAAAGUCGUAACAAGGUUUCCGUAGGUGAACCUGCGGAAG